AGCAGCCGCGGUAAUUCCAGCUCCAAUAGCGUAUAUUAAAGUUGUUGCAGUUAAAAAGCUCGUAGUUGAAUUUCGGGGCCAGUAGGUUGGUCGUGCCACUGGUAUGCACUGGUCUCACUGGUCCCUCCUUCUUGUAGAACCGUGAUGGCAUUAAUUUGUUGUUGCGGGGAAACAGGACUGUUACUUUGAAAAAAUUAGAGUGCUUAAAGCAGGCUCGCGCUUGAAUACAUUAGCAUGGAAUAACGGAAUAGGACGAUCGAACCUAUUUUGUUGGUUUCUAGGAUCGACGUAAUGAUUAAUAGGGAUAGUUGGGGGCAUUAGUAUUCAAUUGUCAGAGGUGAAAUUCUUGGAUUUAUUGAAGACUAACUACUGCGAAAGCAUUUGCCAAGGAUGUUUUCAUUAAUCAAGAACGAAAGUUAGGGGAUCGAAGACGAUCAGAUACCGUCGUAGUCUUAACCAUAAACUAUGCCGACUAGGGAUCGGAUGAAGUUAAUUUUUA
rnacentral:rRNA from 1 species